rnacentral:rRNA from 1 species
GAUGAACGCUGGCGGCGUGCCUAAUACAUGCAAGUCGAGCGAACGGACGAGAAGCUUGCUUCUCUGAUGUUAGCGGCGGACGGGUGAGUAACACGUGGAUAACCUACCUAUAAGACUGGGAUAACUUCGGGAAACCGGAGCUAAUACCGGAUAAUAUUUUGAACCGCAUGGUUCAAAAGUGAAAGACGGUCUUGCUGUCACUUAUAGAUGGAUCCGCGCUGCAUUAGCUAGUUGGUAAGGUAACGGCUUACCAAGGCAACGAUGCAUAGCCGACCUGAGAGGGUGAUCGGCCACACUGGAACUGAGACACGGUCCAGACUCCUACGGGAGGCAGCAGGAGGGAAUCUUCCGCAAUGGGCGAAAGCCUGACGGAGCAACGCCGCGUGAGUGAUGAAGGUCUUCGGAUCGUAAAACUCUGUUAUUAGGGAAGAACAUAUGUGUAAGUAACUGUGCACAUCUUGACGGUACCUAAUCAGAAAGCCACGGCUAACUACGGG